GCAGCUUUCCCGAAAAUAAAAUGAGAAUCCCCAGGAAACAGGGAAAAUGGAAGGCGGGCGGGCUCUGCAAGUCAGACCUGGGUGCCCCAGAGAGCUGCUCUGGGAAAGACGUUUACCUGCUGCCCAGAGCUGGGACUGCAGACCCUGAUUGGCGAGGGCUUGGAGAGUAGCUGAGAACCUUCCCUUCAGCUACUGAAGACCAGACAGGGCUUUCUGUAUCACGCUGCCUGACGAUGAUGAGGGUGCAGUGACUAAGAGUGCAGAUGAAAGGCCCAGCUCUCCAACCAGGUGGAUGGAUUUGCAAGGAGCUUCUAGCCUCCCAAAGUGCUGGGAUUACAGAGGUGGCUCUUUUAAUUGACUCCUCUCCAGGCAUCUCUCCUUCCAGCCACAGAGCCUGGCCUGAUGGUCCCAGGACCCCAGGGCCCCAGGUGAAGGCCUCUCUCCUCCCCCACUCAGGUCUGACCAGCUCUGUUUCCAUCCUGGUGUGGGCACAAGGUCUCUUGCUGCAGCUGGGCCAGUUUGCUGACCUUCUCAGCUCCUUCUCUUAGACUGGAGAGGCCUGGAAGGGUGCCCGAGGGAGGGUCUGGGCUGCUCUCCUGGGCUCCUCCCCUCCACUCCAGGGCUCUGGCUGGAGCCUGGUCAGGGUCCUUACUGAGUUCUCAGCCAAGCGCCAGCCCUGUGAUGGCCUGAGGGGUCUGGUGGGGAAGCCCCA
rnacentral:lncRNA from 1 species